rnacentral:rRNA from 1 species
AUCCUGAGUAGAGUGGCGCACGGGUGAGUAACACGUAGAUAAUCUACCUUCAAGCCCGGGAUAACCCUUCGAAAGGAUGGCUAAUACCGGAUGCAGUGCAGACCCACAAGUGUCUGUAUGAAAGACUGCCUCUUCUUGAAAGCAGUUGUUUGAAGAUGAGUUUGCGUACCAUUAGCUUGUUGGUGGGGUAAUGGCCCACCAAGGCUGUGAUGGUUAGCUGGUCUGAGAGGAUGAUCAGUCACACUGGAACUGGAACACGGUCCAGACUCCUACGGGAGGCAGCAGUGAGGAAUUUUGCGCAAUGGGGGAAACCCUGACGCAGCAACGCCGCGUGAGUGAAGAAGGCCCUUGGGUCGUAAAGCUCUGUCAACCGGGAAGAAGUUACAUAGCAUUAACAAUGAUAUGUAUUGACGGUACCGGUGGAGGAAGCGCCGGCUAACUCCGUGCCAGCAGCCGCGGUAACACGGGGGGCGCAAGCGUUAUUCGGAAUUAUUGGGCGUAAAGGGCGCGUAGGCGGUCUUGUCGGUCAGAUGUGAAGCCCGGGGCUCAACCCUGGAAGUGCAUUUGAAACAGCAAGACUUGAGUACGGGAGAGGAAAGCGGAAUUCCUGGUGUAGAGGUGAAAUUCGUAGAUCUCAGGAGGAACACCGAUGGCGAAGGCAGCUUUCUGGACCGAUACUGACGCUGAGGCGCGAAGGCGUGGGUAGCGAACAGGAUUAGAUACCCUGGUAGUCCACGCAGUAAACGAUGUUCACUAGGUGUAGCGGGUAUUAAAAUCUGCUGUGCCGCAGUCAACGCAUUAAGUGAACCGCCUGGGAAGUACGGUCGCAAGACUAAAACUUCAAAGGAAUUGACCGGGGCCCGCACAAGCGGUGGAGCAUGUGGUUUAAUUCGACGCAACGCGAAGAACCUUACCUGGGUUUGACAUCCUGUGAAUCUUCCAGAGAUGGAAGAGUGCCUUCGGGAGCACAGAGACAGGUGCUGCAUGGCUGUCGUCAGCUCGUGUCGU